rnacentral:lncRNA from 1 species
UGAUGAAUUGAGUGUGAUUGUGAUUUAUAGGGAUUCUUUAUGAAAUCCUAAGAGUAGAAAUUGAUGGGAGAUUGGCUGUGAAAUACCACCUAUUAGAGGUCGUGCCCAGAGAGGCCGUGAUAAACCACCUUGGAAAGGUCGUGCCCGAUGAGGCCGUGAAAAACCACCUACAAGAGGUCGUGCCCGAUGAGGCCGUGAAAUACCACCUAUUAGAGGUCGUGCCCAGAGAGGCCGUGAUAAACCACCUCUAAGAGGUCGUGCCCAGAGAGGCCGUGAUAAACCACCUGUGAAAGGUCGUGCCCAGAGAGGCCGUGAUAAACCACCUCUAAGAGGUCGUGCCCAGAGAGGCCGUGAUAAACCACCUAUUAGAGGUCGUGCCCGAUGAGGCCGUGAUAUGCCACCUAUUAGAGGUCGCGCCCAAUGGGGCCGUGAAUUGCCACCUGUUAAAGGUCGCGCCGAGUGGGGCCG